rnacentral:lncRNA from 1 species
CAGGUGUGUGUCGAGGCGGUAUGCCCCCGGGGAGGAAUGUUAACCAUGUGCUACAGUAGCUAGGUUCCCCCAUCCCUGUGUCUUUCUGGCUGCGGUGCCACCCAUCACUGGCAGAGGAGGAGAGGGCCCCCGUGCCACCCAUCACUGGCAGAGGAGGAGAGGGCCCCCGUGCCACCCAUCACUGGCAGAGGAGGAGAGGGCCCCCGUGCCACCCAUCACUGGCAGAGGAGGAGAGGGCCUCCGUGCCAUCCAUCACUGGCAGAGGAAGAGAGGGCCCCCGUGCCACCCAUCACUGGCAGAGGAGGAGAGGGCCCCCGUGCCACCCAUCACUGGCAGAGGAGGAGAGGGCCACCCAUCACUGGCAGAGGAGGAGAGGGCCCCCGUGCCACCCAUCACUGGCAGAGGAGGAGAGGGCCCCCGUGCCACCCAUCACUGGCAGAGGAGGAGAGGGCCUCCGUGAUAACAGACAGACAGACAGACGCACAGACAUGGCUCUGACAGACAAACACAAAGUGAAGAGACAGAGACUAGACAGGAUCUGUGAAGAGCGGGCUGCCUCCUCUUCCAUGUGUCCUUCUGUCCACUCCGUCUGUGCUUCAGUCUGGGCCACUGGGUGUAUGAUGACAGACAGUCCCUGAACAACGGCUCAACACCCACAAGAGACAGGAGGUGAUGCAGAGAAACAGACAAAUUACCCUCUAAAACUGACAGAGGAUUACAUUCUACUGAAUCAUAUGAGAGAGUGGGUUCAAUUCCCGGGUCACAGAUAUGUAAAAAAAAUAUACACUGCUCAAAAAAAUAAAGGGAACACUUAAACAACACAAUGUAACUCCAAGUCAAUCACACUUCAGUGAAAUCAAACUGUCCACUUAGGAAGCAACACUGAUUGACAAUAAAUUUCACAUGCUGUUGUGCAAAUGGAAUAGACAACAGGUGGGAAUUAUAGGCAAUUAGCAAGACACCCCCAAUAAAGGAGUGGUUCUGCAGGUGGGAACAACAGACCACUUCUCAGUUCCUAUGCUUCCUGGCUGAUGUUUUGGUCACUUUUGAAUGCUGGCGGUGCUUUCACUCUAGUGGUAGCUUGAGACGGAGUCUACAACCCACACAAGUGGCUCAGGUAGUGCAGCUCAUCCAGGAUGGCACAUCAAUGCAAGCUGUGGCAAGAAGGUUUGCUGUGUCUGUCAGCGUAGUGUCCAGAGCAUGGAGGCGCUACCAGGAGACAGGCCAGUACAUCAGGAGACGUGGAGGAGGCCGUAGGAGGGCAACAACCCAUUAGCAGGACCGCUACCUCCGCCUUUGUGCAAGGAGGAGCUGGAGGAGCACUGCCAGAGCCCUGCAAAAUGACCUCCAGCAGGCCACAAAUGUGCAUGUGUCUG